rnacentral:tRNA from 1 species
AGGGGAGUAGCUCAAUUGGUAGAGUGGCGGUCUCCAAAACCGUAGGUGCGGGUUCGAGCCCUGUCUCCCCUG